rnacentral:rRNA from 1 species
UAGGGAAUUUUCCACAAUGGGCGAAAGCCUGAUGGAGCAACGCCGCGUGCAGGAUGAAGGCUUUAGGGUCGUAAACUGCUUUUGUUAGUGACGAUUAUGACGGUAACUAGCGAAUAAGGGUCUGCUAACUACGUGCCAGCAGCCGCGGUCAUACGUGGGACCCAAGCGUUAUCCGGAAUUACUGGGCGUAAAGAGUUGCGUAGGUGGCAGAGUAAGUUGGUAGUGAAAGCGUCCCGCUCAACGGGAUAUCCAUUAUCAAAACUGCUCAGCUAGAGCAUAGAAGAGGUAGCUGGAAUUUCUAGUGUAGGAGUGAAAUCCGUAGAUAUUAGAAGGAACACCGAUGGCGUAGGCAGGCUACUGGUCUAUUGCUGACACUAAGGCACGAAAGCGUGGGGAGCGAACUGGAUUAGAUACCCGCGUAGUCC